GUAGGUGGCAAGCGUUGUCCGGAAUUAUUGGGCGUAAAGCGCGCGCAGGCGGUUCUUUAAGUCUGAUGUGAAAGCCCACGGCUCAACCGUGGAGGGUCAUUGGAAACUGGAGAACUUGAGUACAGAAGAGGAAAGCGGAAUUCCACGUGUAGCGGUGAAAUGCGUAGAGAUGUGGAGGAACACCAGUGGCGAAGGCGGCUUUCUGGUCUGUAACUGACGCUGAGGCGCGAAAGCGUGGGGGAGCAAACAGGAUUAGAUACCCUGGUAGUCCACGCCGUAAACGAUGAGUGCUAAGUGUUAGGGGGUUUCCGCCCCUUAGUGCUGCAGCUAACGCAUUAAGCACUCCCGCCCUGGGAGUACGGCCGCAAGGCUG
rnacentral:rRNA from 1 species